rnacentral:misc_RNA from 1 species
CCAACAUCAAUGCGUCAAUGCUUUCGAUUUGCUGUACUCGGAUUCGGAAUCAUAACUGCGAAAUCUCGUGCCGCCAAGAUGGAACCGAGAGGUUCAUCGUUCUGCCCGUCCGACUACCGCCAUCAAUUCCGCGAUCUUGNNNNNUGUCGCCGCUCGCGAUUGCAUGCUCGACGCAGUGGGCGACGUGGUCCUUCAACACCUCUUCCUCGACGCGGCGCAGGGCGGCACGAACGGCGGAGAUCUGCGUUACGAUAUCGAUGCAGUAGCGGUCCUCCUCCACCAUCUU